rnacentral:rRNA from 1 species
CGCCGAUGGAGGGGGAUAACUACUGGAAACGGUAGCUAAUACCGCAUAACGUCGCAAGACCAAAGAGGGGGACCUUAGGGCCUCUUGCCAUCGGAUGUGCCCAGAUGGGAUUAGCUAGUAGGUGGGGUAAUGGCUCACCUAGGCGACGAUCCCUAGCUGGUCUGAGAGGAUGACCAGCCACACUGGAACUGAGACACGGUCCAG